GAAUAUUCUAAACAAUAAGUAGUAUCAAAAAUGGCUCUGAUCUUGAAAAGUUCUUGGUUUGCAAAUAUUGUAUGUUGUUAGUGGGCAUGUGCAGGUUGUGCUGUCGAAUCCAGUGGACGAUAAAUGCCCAUUCAUGGCAAUGAAAGCAAAGGUGACUCCUUCACAGAGAGCGAGAGACAAGCCCCAUGACCCAUGGGUUUACUUGGAGAAAAACAGUGGCACAGUUUACUGUGCACAUUGUACCUGUAUGGCCGGCUUAGGUGAAGUGUGCAGCCAUGUUGGAGCACUCUUGUUUAAGGUUGAGAUGAGUGUCAACUAGUCAGGCCUGUCAGUGGAAUAGUACUUUCCGAAGAGUGUAUUGUCACCAAGAGUCCCACACUUAUUCUGUUAACAUUUGCAAGGAAGCCCCACACCAAAAGAACAAAAGUAAAUUUGGACAUUCAUGGCAACUGAACCAAUGGAUGUGGAGUCAAUGAUUAGAUGUCGAAAAUGAGAUUCUGAAG
rnacentral:lncRNA from 1 species